rnacentral:rRNA from 1 species
CCUACGUGAGGCAGCAGUGAGGAAUAUUGGUCAAUGGGCGGAAGCCUGAACCAGCCAAGUCGCGUGAGGGAAUAAGGCUUUCGGGUUGUAAACUUCUUUUGUCAGGGAAGAGUAGAAGACGGUACCUGACGAAUAAGCCACGGCUAACUCCGUGCCAGCAGCCGCGUUCAUACGUAGGUGGCAAGCGUUGUCCGGAUUUACUGGGUGUAAAGGGCGUGUAGCCGGGUUGACAAGUCAGGUGUGAAAUCCUGCGGCUUAAACGACGAACGGCAUUUGAAACUGUUGAUCUUGAGUACUGGAGAGGCAGGCGGAAUGCGUAGUGUAGCGGUGAAAUGCGUAGAUAUUAGGAGGAACACCGGUGGCGAAGGCGGUCUGCUGGACAGCAACUGACGGUGAGGCGCGAAAGCGUGGGGAGCAAACAGGAUUAGAUACCCCAGUAGUC